rnacentral:rRNA from 1 species
CCUACGGGGCGCAGCAGUGGGGGAUAUUGCACAAUGGGGGAAACCCUGAUGCAGCGACGCCGCGUGGGUGAAGAAGUAUUUCGGUAUGUAAAGCCCUAUCAGCAGGGAAGAAAGAAGACGGUACCUGACUAAGAAGCCCCGGCUAACUACGUGCCAGCAGCCGCGGUAAUACGUAGGGGGCGAGCGUUAUCCGGAUUCACUGGGUGUAAAGGGAGCGUAGACGGCCGUGCAAGCCAGGAGUGAAAGCCCGGGGCCCAACCCCGGGACUGCUCUUGGAACUGUGCGGCUGGAGUGCGGGAGGGGCAGGCGGAAUUCCUGGUGUAGCGGUGAAAUGCGGAGAUAUCAGGAGGAACACCGGCGGCGAAGGCGGCCUGCUGGACCGCGACUGACGUUGAGGCUCGAAAGCGUGGGGAGCGAACAGGAUUAGAUACCCGAGUAGUC